UACGGAGGGUGCGAGCGUUAAUCGGAAUUACUGGGCGUAAAGCGUGCGUAGGCUGUAUGUCAAGUCAAGGGUGAAAUCCCCGGGCUCACCCCGGGAACUGCCUUUGAAACUGGCAAACUAGAGUAUGUGAGAGGGUGGCGGAAUUCCAGGUGUAGGAGUGAAAUCCGUAGAUAUCUGGAGGAACACCAGUGGCGAAGGCGGCCACCUGGCACAUAACUGACGCUGAGGUACGAAAGCGUGGGUAGCAAACAGG
rnacentral:rRNA from 1 species